rnacentral:lncRNA from 7 species
ACCAGGCGAGUGUGGCGUCUUCCACGGGCGGCCCUAACCAACUCCUGAAGACUACAAAUUGAGGGCCUCCUUGUCCUCGCUCGCGCCAGCACUGUUCACCGGAAUCCCUGUGCCCAUGGUGAGAACAUAGUGAGAGAGAGAGCGAGGCGGGAGGCGCCGCCAUGGGGCCUGCAUACGCGUCGAACUCAGGACCACGGCUUGGGGCCAGGGUGCUUCGCCAUGCUGCGCGAGACUCGACCGUGGCCUUGCUUGGGCGAUGCCGCGCUCUAGACUACCGGAAUUGCUCGCCAGGGCCUCUACGCCGCCGCGGGCCUGCCCUCCUUUCGUGGACCGGCCCCAUCACGACGCCUUCGCCGGUGAGAACCUUCUCAACAUUUUCACCGACCUCUCCUUAGUGUGUAGCGUCGUUCUGUUAGUGCAAUUGCUCUCUUGGGCAUCGGUUUUGGAUUUCCCAGGCGGGGCCUCCGCCGUCGCACUUGGGCUGCGCGGCCGCCCUGUUGUUCAGAGGAAGGAGACAUAG